AACAGAUUAGUGGUUACCAGAGGGGAAGGGGGCUGGGGAGUGGACAUAAGGGGUAAAGGGACACAUAUGUAUGGUGACCGACAAAUAAUAAUGUACAACUGAAAUUUCACAAUGUUAUAAACUAUUGUGACCUCAAUAAAAUUUUUUAAAAAGACAAAAUCGUGCCAUUUGCAACAACCUGGUUGGGCUUUGAGGGUAUUACGUUAAGUGAAAUAAGCCAGACAGAGAAAGACAAGCACCAUGUGAUUUCACUCAUAUGUGGAAGAUAAACAAACACAUGCAGAGAGAGAGCAGAUGAGUGGUUACCAGAGGGGAAUGGGGUCAGGGAUGGGGAAAAGGGCACAUAUAUAUGGUGAUGGAUAAAAAUUAGACUAUUGGUGGUGAGCAUGACCCAGUGUAUACAGAAACUGAUCAAUAAUAUUGUACACCUGAAAUUUCACAGUUAUAAACCAUUAUGACCUCAAUAAAAUAAAAAAAAUCACUGAAAGGCUUAAAUAAAAAAGAAAAAUUCUGAGGUCAUAAGUAAUUGAGUUUGGGUCCUCUGUUUACUUGUUCUGGCAUCAAAAUUUAGACGAGACUAGUUUUUUUUUUAGCUUUACUGAAGUAUAAUAGAAAAGCAAUAAACUAAACAUGUUUGAAGUGUACAAUUUGGUACAUUGUGACAUAUGUAUACAUCAGUGAAACCAUCAUCAUGGCUAGGCUGACUUUUUAAAAAAAAAUUAAAGUGCAGCCAUUGUCCUUUAAACACACACACAACGCACACACACUCCAGUGUUUUUGUGUGGUAAGAAGGACUAACGUGAUCAGAAUUUACCUUUAGGUCCCAAAUUCCUGGAGGUUGUGGGCCAUCUCUGUGCAUCUGUCAUAAGAGUCGAGGGAAAAGAGGCUUGCUGGCUGCCCCGGAGCUGAGGCACGUUUCCUGUGUUCGGUCAAAAGUGAGUGGACAGAGGUGCAGCGCCAAGGGGCUGUGGUAUCAGUCUGUACACCUGGCUGUGCCUUAUUAAGCUUUUCAAGGUGUGCCUGCUUUAUUAGCUCCUUGAGCUGAAUGACCAUGUAUUUGUUCUUUCCUUUUUCUACCCCAAAGUAUGACUGCCAAUGAGACAUGAGUAUGCAUGCGUGAUGGGUGGCAAGCUCCUGUGUCACAGUCACUGGCCAAGAAGUUUAACAGCGAUGGAUUAG
rnacentral:lncRNA from 1 species